GUCCAAGCACAGAGCUCAGCAGAGAGUGCAAUGUGGAGCCAGCCACAUUUCCACAGGCAGAAAUUGGGGUGGAGACUUGGUUGUGGCCCUCUCUGACCUGCCUACCUGCCAUGGCUCUUCCAGGGCCUCUUCAGGCCGAACACUGGUUCCACCCCUGGCUCCACGGGGGCUCCUUAACCAAGAAGAUGGGUCCACUGAAGGCGGAGAAGGACUCCUUUCUGUCUAUUCAGCCAGCUGGACAAGGUACCUGGAGGUCAGAGGUUGUCACCAUACCCAGGGGACAAGUUAAACAGGAACAGGAUGAGUUAACCAGUAACAGUCAGCCACCAGGAGUGCUGGCUGCACACCAGACAGCUUCCUUGCAACUUCAGCCAGUCUCAGAGUACUGUGUGAACUCCUAGAUAUCACAAGGCUGGAGCAGACUACGCUUCACACAGCUUGGAAGAGGCAGUCCCAUGGACCACCUUCACUUGUCCUGGAGCCACUGUGGUGACCCAGGGAUACAGCAGACAUGCUCCAAAAAGGAUCUAACCUCAGGAGCUAGCAGUUAGCCUCAUUCCUGGCUGUCCCCUGUAUGGACUGCUGCUGAAUGCAGGUGGGUGCAUGGGUGCUUGUCACCUGGCCAGGACCUGGGGACUAAGAGGAUAUGAGCCAUAAGUGAAAUCCAACUGUGAGAUUUUGCUCUGGAUACAGUCACGCAUGCAGAAUGUUAAUGGACACGCCACACCUGAGGACACCUUGAGGCUCAUCUGGGCCAGGAGAGUUCCAGGGGAUCCAGCACCCUCGCACAGACACACAUGCAGGCAAACACCAAUGCACGUAAAAUAAAAAUAAAGAAAUUAAAAAAGCAAGAAGGUGAAAUGCAGCAAAGCUCAGGAGCACCAGGUCAGAAGUGAAGAGGACACUAAGAUUACCUGAGUCUCAGAAGACUUUGAUCUUUGAAGCUUUAAAUAGCAUUGAGACUGAAGGACUAUAGAGACUUUUGAAACUGAACCAAACACAUUUGGCGUUGUGAUAGGGUCCUGUGCCUACCGGGGGGCCAGGGUGUGGAAUGUGCUGGUUUGAAUGAGAAUGCCCCCCAUAGGCUCACAAGCUUGAAUAUUUGGUCCCCAGUUGGUAACAAUGUGAAGGAUUAGGAGGUGUGGCCUUGUUGGAGAUAAUGUCACUGAAGCAGGCUUUGAGGUUUCACCUCUCUCUCUCUCUCUCUCUCUCUCUCUUUCUUUCUCUCUCUCUCUCUCUCUGUUUUGUGGUUGUCAAUUGAGAUGUGAGCUCUAAGGUUUCCUUUGUUUUGCCAUCAUGAACUCUAACUUCUGAAACCUUAAACCAAAUUAAAUGCUUUUAUUUGUAA